AAGCCAAUCUUUGAGAUAGACUGGGAAAGUAUUUUCAUCCUCCUGUGUUGUCAGUUAAAAACUAUCACAGUUUAACUAAAAGCGUGUAUUAAGUGUAUGUGCCAAGCACUGUAUUAAGCCCUAGAGAUUCUGGCUGUGUUUGGCCGACUUACUGAAGGAAAACAUCAUGAAGAAUAUAGGAUUUGAACAGCUGUGUACGUAACAUACACUACAUUUACAAUGGAGCCAGAUCUUGAAGGUUGAAUAGACUAGAAAUCUGUGUGAGGGCGAAUUCUAGGACUGAGACAUUGGAAAAGCAUACAAAUUUGAUUUGUGACUGUUAAGCAUGAAAAAAUGAAGCUACACAAGUGAGAAAGACUUCAAGAUGAGAUCACAGAAAACCUUGAGUAAAAAGGUUUACUUUGAAAGAUGACAGUGUGUGUGUGUGUAUAUAUAUAUAUGUUUGUAUUCAGAAAAAUUUUUAAAGGUGUGAUAUGAUUAAAGUUAUGUUAUAAGGUUAUCUAAUGUCACAGGUGAUAUGGAGAAAAUGGGAAAGGAUGGAAAGGUGCAUGGCAAUUAGAUAAGUGGAAAUGGCAGGUAUCAAACCCACAAACGAAUGCUUGGACUGCAGUAUUUAUACUUGAAGACAAAAACUAUCUUAGAACUGGCUUUCUGGAAAAAAGAAAACAACUCUGUUUCCCAUCACUGGAGUGGUUUUUUUUUUUUUAAUUGCAAAUUUCUUGAAAAAUUUAAAUGAUUUUACAAAUAAAAUAUGCCGUGUCUUUGCAGCUAUUAAAAAAAAAGUCUCCCUUGUAUUGGCAGGCAGAUUCUUAACCACUGGACCACCAGAGAAGUCCCUGGGGUGACUUUUUUUAAAUGGCAACUUAGCCUUCACUGAAAUUAACAAACAUUUACAACUUAACCCAUCAGCUUCCAUUUCCUCUUCUGAGUCUUCAAUCCCAUCCUUUUUUUUUCUUUCUUUUUUUCAGUUUAUAAACAUGAUCAGGUACUUCUGUGGUUAUAAACUAAGUACUGAUUCCAUUUUCAUCUAAACAUCCAAAAAUGUGAACUGCACUUGCUUGUUCACUCUCUCACCUCCCAUAUAUUAUCUCCCUACUGCACAAUAAUGGGCUUCCCUGGUAAGUUGGUUGGUGAAGAAUCUGCCUGCAAUGCAGGAGACCUGGGUCUGAUCCCUGAGUUGGGAAGAUACUCUGGAGGAGGGCAUGGAAACCCACUCCAGAAUUUU
rnacentral:lncRNA from 1 species